GGCCGGGCUCUGUCCUGUGAAUCUUGACCAACCCAGGCUGAUGCCCGCACCACCGAGCCCGUAGCUUCUCCCAGCCUGAAGCCGACCUAUUUUUUAAUGUUAUUUAGACAGAAUAGCACUCUGCAUGACUUUAACUCUUGGGACAAAACGGUAGUUGAUACCUACACACACACACACACACACCUGUGUGGUCUACAAUAUGCACUAUUUCCGGCCCAGUUUGGUAGGGGUGGGUGCCGGGGGGUGGAGUGUUGGUUUGGAGUCUGGAGGGAGACCCUGACUGAACGUCGUUUCCGCCCCGAGAGCACUCCUGGGCGGGU
rnacentral:lncRNA from 1 species